UCAGUCGAUUUUCAACUGCUUCUACAGCGCGAAGAGAAGAUAGUCGCUCUUCUAUCGACACGGCGGUCUGCAAGCCGAAAUGUGGGGGUAAUGGCGGUUAAAAACGUCCAGGGCAUCACCACACCACAAGAAUUUCGCCGGGCUCAAACAUAACGUUAUAUUCCGGCGAGGAGACCCGCAAUGUAAAGGGAAUGGAGGUGCUAAACCUCCACAGCCCAGGGCAUCACUUUGAGGGCUCAAACCUAACGUUGAUUGUACGACGAGGAGACCCGCAGUAUAAAGUAUGCCCACAGACGAUAUGAAGACGGAGACCCUCCGGACCGACCAUCCUAUGGAGGGACCCUCCCCCGGCCCGCCCAUCAGCCGGGGGCACCAUCAUCUCGCUGUCCUCCUGGUCCGACCACCAGCCGGGUGACGCCCUCCUGUCUGACCACCGACCUGAGGGGCCGUCCUGCUGCCACAGCCUGCCAUCGUCACCCACCACCGGGCCCUGAAUGCCACAGCCCGGCCAUCGGCUUGCACGCCCCCGGCUCGACCACUGGCCAGCUGACGCCCUCCAGCCCCACCACCGUCAGGAGUGCCCAGCGGAUGUUCCCGGCCCAACCACCGGCGAAGCCUGACCACCGGCUGGGGAGGCCCCCGGCCCAGCAAAAGAUAUAUGGUAUAUACAUAUUUCGUUCAUGUCUUGUGGGAAAUGUUUGUUGAUUGAUUGGUUGUUUUGUUGGUUCAUUUGGUUGAACUCUGACUUCUCAUCACAAAACACCACACAUCUUUCCUCUUCUCCGUCACAACACACCACAAUACACAACUCUCCUCUCCUUACAACGCACCGUAACACACAACCCUUC